rnacentral:rRNA from 1 species
GAGUGCUAAGAUCCGUAGUCGAAAGGGAAACAGCCCAGACCACCAGCUAAGGUCCCAAAAUAAUUGUUAAGUGGAAAAGGAUGUGGGGUUGCACAGACAACUAGGAUGUUAGCUUAGAAGCAGCUAUUCAUUCAAAGAGUGCGUAAUAGCUCACUAGUCGAGUGACCCUGCGCCGAAAAUGUACCGGGGCUAAAACAAUUUACCGAAGCUGUGGAUACCUUUAUAGGUAUGGUAGGAGAGCGUUCUAUGUGUGAUGAAGGUAUACCGUGAGGAGUGCUAAGAUCCGUAGUCGAAAGGGAAACAGCCCAGACCACCAGCUAAGGUCCCAAAAUAAUUGUUAAGUGGAAAAGGAUGUGGGGUUGCACAGACA